AAAAGACAGUCACUCUUAAGAAAUAAUAAAAAGAUGGGAUCAUGACACAGAAAGUGAUGACUUUUUACGAGGAGGAAGUAGAAAGAAAAAAGGAGGAAGUGGCUAGAGCAAAGAAAGACAAGAAGAAAUUUGGCACAACAGGGUAUGAAAACUGAGACUUACAGAAGAGAAAUAACUUACUCAAGAUCUCAGGGGCCAGGUUCUUGGUCACAGCAUGGAGUCAGGCUUUGAAAGGGCCUCAGAUCAAGAUGAACUUUGUAUCUACUCUCUGCUCACGCCAAUAUGAUUCUAAGAUUCUUGGCACAAUCCGUGGGCCUCUUCUGUCCUGGAAGACAACUCCUUUUUGUGAUCUCCUCCUUGGCCAAUGGAUGAAACCUUUUAGGGCCAAAAGGGAAGGACAGAGAGGCACCCUCAUCCUCACCAGCACUGCAGAGAACUGCUUCAAACCAGCGGUCACAGCACCUGAGUGAUGCCAAAGCUGAUCUCAGUUCACCCCCCACAACUGUCCUUGAAAAUGAGUACGCUUGAUUCUCAUCUUACUUUUGAGGAAUUUGGGCAUCUCUAGCUCAGAAAUUGCGAUGGCUGUGAAGCUACAGAAGAAAUGUCCAACUUUGAAGCUUAAAGAUCAGUUUUGAGCUCCUCCUCUGCUCUGUAUUAAUUGCAUGACCUUAAAUGAAGUCACAAGUUUUUGAGCCUGUUUCCUCAACUGAAGAAAUAGAGAUGAUACCCCUGCUUCAAAGACUGUCUCUGACAUCAGCAGUGACCUUCCACCCCUGUUUUACCUGCUAAGCCUCUGUUUGUUCAUCUUUUAAGUCUCAUCCAAUGGAGCCCCAGGUUGCUUCCUCAGCAAGGCCUCUUCUAACUCCUUCAGAGAAUACCAGCCACAGUGCAAUGAAAGAGGAAACUACAGAAGAGUGUGAACUGCAGGAGGUGGGGGUCGUUGGGAGCCACCUCGGAUGCUGACCAUCUCAGAUGCACACUGGAAGAAAAGAGGAGCCAGGGAAUUGUGCUGACGCAUAAGCUCGGAUGCAUUUUGUCUGCUUCUUGUAGUUUCU